AGUGAACGCUGGCGGUAGGCCUAACACAUGCAAGUCGAACGGCAGCACAGUAAGAGCUUGCUCUUACGGGUGGCGAGUGGCGGACGGGUGAGGAAUACAUCGGAAUCUACUUUUUCGUGGGGGAUAACGUAGGGAAACUGACGCUAAUACCGCAUACGACCUACGGGUGAAAGCAGGUGAUCUUCGGACCUUGCGCGAUUGAAUGAGCCGAUGUCGGAUUAGCUAGUUGGCGGGGUAAAGGCCCACCAAGGCGACGAUCCGUAGCUGGUCUGAGAGGAUGAUCAGCCACACUGGAACUGAGACACGGUCCAGACUCCUACGGGAGGCAGCAGUGGGGAAUAUUGGACAAUGGGCGCAAGCCUGAUCCAGCCAUACCGCGUGGGUGAAGAAGGCCUUCGGGUUGUAAAGCCCUUUUGUUGGGAAAGAAAAGCAGCAGGUUAAUACCCCGCUGUUCUGACGGUACCCAAAGAAUAAGCACCGGCUAACUUCGUG
rnacentral:rRNA from 1 species